GGAGGCGUUUCCGGCCUGGUGACCGGCGCGGUCUUCAAAACCGUAGUGGGGCGGCAACCGUCCCAGGCGGGUUCGAUUCCCGUCCGCCUCCGCCA
rnacentral:tRNA from 1 species